GAUGAACGCUAGCGGCAGGCUUAAUACAUGCAAGUUGAGGGGCAGCAUGAUAUACGCGAGUAUAUUGAUGGCGACCGGCGGACGGGUGAGUAAUAGGUAGGAGACCUACCUCAUACAGGGGGAUAGCAUAGAGAAAUCUGUGGUAAUACCCCAUGAGGUUAUAUGAAUAGAGGCAUAUAAUCAAAGCAUAAGCGAUUAUGCGGUAUGAGAGGGGCCUACUGACCAUUAGCUAGUUGGUGAGGUAAGGGCUCACCAAGGCGAAGAUGGUUAGGGGUUUUGAGAGAGAGACCCCCCACAUUGGAACUGAGAGACGGUCCAGACUCCUACGGGAGGCAGCAGUAGGGAAUAUUGGGCAAUGGGCGAAAGCCUGACCCAGCCAUGCCGCGUGAAGGAAGACGGCCUUAUGGGGUUGUAAACUUCUUUACUUACGCGAAUAAGAGGUAGUUACGAGAUACUAAUAGGAAGGUAGUGUAGUAAAAGAAACCGCGUACUACCGUGC
rnacentral:rRNA from 1 species